rnacentral:lncRNA from 10 species
UAGAACAAAGUACAAGUAAACCCCAAGUAAUGAGUAAGAUUCCCUCCAGAUCCAGCUAAUUAUUUGAACAUACCCUUUUCAUCACAGCACGUCACUGCUGCAAACAUUGGAAUGCUUUCCCAUGGUUUACUAAACAAAGUACAAAGCUGUCUGACAAUGCAGAUCACAGCAAAGAUCCAAGUGAUGCAUGCCCUUCGGCAGGAUCUUCCCCACCCUGGGUCUCAGUUUUAUCUUCUAGAAAAUACACGUUCAAGAGUGAGAUUUGCAGCUUCCUCCCUGCUCAGACCUCAUGAUUUUGACUGUGAAACCCAUUCAUAUAACUUCAUUAUUCUUAUUCCCAUGUGAGAAGGUAAGUCUAGUAUGAAUGUCAUUUUUGCCCAAACACUCCUGAGCAUUACAUAGACUUAAUUAACGUUUUGCUUCUUCAGAUGUUUUUUCUCAUGUGCAGGCUGUUUACUAAAGGGCCACACAGCAUGUUACCUUCAAUCCGUAGACAUUUCUGGGAGUCAGCUGCGUGCACUGCAGUUGAAGAUGAGAACUAUUGAAUGCUUACCCAGUGCCAGGCCUGUGUCUCCACGCCUCUCGCCUGUCCCCCCUUAGCACCCUAUGAGGUCGACACUGUGGUCACCCUCCCUUGGCAGGUGCAGAGCAGAGGUUUGGCCUUGCAACAGAUGGACCAACAGAACACUAGGAAACACGAUUCAAGUAGCAUCUUGAAAUGUGAUCCUGCAUUGGGGGUCCCCUCUCUUCACUGCACCCGGAACUGUGA